UUAAUUGAAGAGUUUGAUCAUGGCUCAGAUUGAACGCUGGCGGCAGGCCUAACACAUGCAAGUCGAGCGGUAACAUUUCAAAAGCUUGCUUUUGAAGAUGACGAGCGGCGGACGGGUGAGUAAUGCCUAGGAAAUUGCCCUGAUGUGGGGGAUAACCAUUGGAAACGAUGGCUAAUACCGCAUGAUGCCUACGGGCCAAAGAGGGGGACCUUCGGGCCUCUCGCGUCAGGAUAUGCCUAGGUGGGAUUAGCUAGUUGGUGAGGUAAUGGCUCACCAAGGCGACGAUCCCUAGCUGGUCUGAGAGGAUGAUCAGCCACACUGGAACUGAGACACGGUCCAGACUCCUACGGGAGGCAGCAGUGGGGAAUAUUGCACAAUGGGCGCAAGCCUGAUGCAGCCAUGCCGCGUGUAUGAAGAAGGCCUUCGGGUUGUAAAGUACUUUCAGUCGUGAGGAAGGUGGUGUUGUUAAUAGCAGCAUCAUUUGACGUUAGCGACAGAAGAAGCACCGGCUAACUCCGUGCCAGCAGCCGCGGUAAUACGGAGGGUGCGAGCGUUAAUCGGAAUUACUGGGCGUAAAGCGCAUGCAGGUGGUUCGUUAAGUCAGAUGUGAAAGCCCGGGGCUCAACCUCGGAACUGCAUUUGAAACUGGCGGACUAGAGUACUGUAGAGGGGGGUAGAAUUUCAGGUGUAGCGUGUGAAUGCGUAAAGAUCUUAAGGAAUACCGGUGGCGAAGGCGGGCCCCUGGACGGAUA
rnacentral:rRNA from 1 species